rnacentral:rRNA from 1 species
GUGGGGAAUCUUGCGCAAUGGGCGAAAGCCUGACGCAGCCAUGCCGCGUGAAUGAUGAAGGUCUUAGGAUUGUAAAAUUCUUUCACCGGGGACGAUAAUGACGGUACCCGGAGAAGAAGCCCCGGCUAACUUCGUGCCAGCAGCCGCGGUAAUACGAAGGGGGCUAGCGUUGCUCGGAAUUACUGGGCGUAAAGGGCGCGUAGGCGGACAGUUUAGUCAGAGGUGAAAGCCCAGGGCUCAACCUUGGAAUUGCCUUUGAUACUGGCUGUCUUGAGUACGGGAGAGGUGAGUGGAACUCCGAGUGUAGAGGUGAAAUUCGUAGAUAUUCGGAAGAACACCAGUGGCGAAGGCGACUCACUGGCCCGUUACUGACGCUGAGGCGCGAAAGCUAGGGGAGCAAACGGGAUUAGAAACCCCGGUAGUCC